rnacentral:rRNA from 1 species
CCCUUAGAUGUUCUGGGCCGCACGCGCGCUACACUGAUGCAUUCAACGAGUUUUGUUUGUUCCUUGGCCGAGAGGCCUGGGCAAUCUUUUGAACUUGCAUCGUGAUAGGGAUAGAUUAUUGCAAUUAUUAAUCUUGAACGAGGAAUUCCUAGUAAACGCAGAUCAUCAAUCUGCAUUGAUUACGUCCCUGCCCUUUGUACACACCGCCCGUCGCACCUACCGAUUGAAUGGUCCGGUGAAGCCUCGGGAUUGUGGUUGGUUUCCUUUAUUGGAGAUUGAUUGCGAGAACUUGUCUAAACCUUAUCAUUUAGAGGAAGGUGAAGUCGUAACA